rnacentral:rRNA from 1 species
ACUCAAAUGAAUUGACGGGGGCCCGCACAAGCAGUGGAGCAUGUGGUUUAAUUCGAUGCAACGCGAAGAACCUUACCUGGGCUUGAACUGUGAAGGAAUAUAUCAGAAAAGGUAUAGCCGCAAGGUCUUUACAGAGGUGCUGCAUGGCUGUCGUCAGCUCGUGCCGUGAGGUGUUUGGUUAAGUCCAGCAACGAGCGCAACCCUUAUCGUUAGUUGCCAGCGAGUAAUGUCGGGAACUCUAGCGAGACUGCCUAGGUCAACUAGGAGGAAGGUGAGGAUGACGUCAAGUCCGCAUGGCCUUUAUGUCCAGGGCUACACACGUGCUACAAUGGCCAGUACAGAAGGUUGCCAACCCGCGAGGGGGAGCUAAUCCUAAAAAGCUGGUCUCAGUUCGGAUUGCAGCCUGCAACUCGGCUGCAUGAAGUUGGAAUUGCUAGUAAUGGCGUGUCAGCUACAACGCCGUGAAUACGUUCCCGGGCCUUGUACACACCGCCCGU